rnacentral:lncRNA from 1 species
CAAAGGAUAACGUUAGGGUGUAUAGGGUAGGCUGAAAUAAGGAAAAAAAAAUCAAAGUAUGUGUGGCGUUUUUUUUUUUGGGUAGAAGGAAUGGAUGAUCGGAGGUAACAAGAAAUAAUAACAAAAUAGAACUCACAAGACUUUUCACUUCGUUUUUUUUUAUACUUCGAUUUUUUUGUCACUUCAAAUACAAUUGAAUAAUACCAAAAUAUCUUCAAAAUUCAUGAAAUCCUCUUCUAUUUUUUUUUCAAUUUUUUUUCAAUUUUUUUCUUUCUCUCUCUUUUUUUUGCUCG